CUCCCCUUCUGUGUCCUGCAGAUGGACACCCGCUCCGGGAGCCAGUGUUCCGUCACCCCAGAAGCCAUACUCAACAAUGAACAGCUGGUCUUGCCGCCCCGCAUCUCUAGAGUGAACGGCUGGUCGUUACCCUUGCACUACUUCCAGGUGGUGACUUGGGCUGUCUUCGUGGGCCUUUCCUCGGCCACCUUCGGGAUCUUCAUUCCCCUCCUGCCUCAUGUGUGGAAAUACAUCGCCUACGUGGUGACCGGGGGGAUCUUCUCCUUCCACCUCGUCGUCCACCUGAUCGCCUCCUGCAUCGACCCGGCCGACUCCAAUGUCAGACUCAAGAAGAACUAUUCUCAGCCCAUGCCCAUCUUCGACAGAUCAAAACACGCACACGUGAUCCAGAAUCAGUUCUGCCACCUGUGCAGGGUCACCGUACCUCAACACCCUCCCCCAGCCUCCCAUUCCCCGUUGGACGCCCACUCCCCAGGCCACACAGGGCUGGUUCCU
rnacentral:sRNA from 1 species